rnacentral:tRNA from 1 species
GCCUGGAUGGCUCAGUGGUUGAGCGUCUGCCUUUCACUCAGGGCAUGAUCCCAGGGUCUUGGGUUUGAGUCCCACAUUAGGCU